CAUGUAGUCUCAGGUAUAGGUUAUAAGUUUUAAUAUGUAAUUCUUAUAAUAUAUACAUAUAAGUAUGUUUUGUAGUUUUCCUGGAACCUCCGGAUGCCACCUUAUAUAAUUUAUGUUCGUAGUAGGCGAGGUAUGAGUACAUAUACAAGUCUGGAAAUGUAUUAUAUUAUAUAUUUACAUGUAAGUGAUUUAAUAUAUGCUGUAUAAGAAUGGAAGAGGAGAGUGGAAAAGGCUAUAAAUUUUCAUGUAAGCUUCAACGUCUACAAGUGAUAGUGAUUGGAAAAAUGGAGGUAAACGGAUCUGAAAAAAUGGCCUUUCAACAUCCAGAAAUGUUCUGAGAUCGUGAAUGCUGCAAAAAAAUUUCUCCUCCCGAAAGAAAAGACAAUUACAUACAGGUGAUUGUAGAACUUAAGUGUGAAAUAGAAAAUAUAUAGAUAAAUUAAAAUAUACCACUUCAUAAUGAUACACUUUUGGGCUUGUUUUUUUAAUAAGAAUGUGCCUUAAUUUUAGUUAUUUAUAUACUAUGAUAUGUGCUCUCGUAAAAUCUAUCAGCGAUUUAUUAAAAAUCAAUCUACCCUAUGACUCCACACAUCACUCGUGGCAACUCCGCACAUAAUGGCAGCAGUGCUCAUUACAGUACAGUUAUGUAAAUAGGGAAGCUAUCGUAGGCAUUUGUAAACGAAAAGAUUGUUUUUCAUUUAAAUCUGAAACAUUAUAUAAGAAGAUGUUUUUAACAUUAAUUGUAUGACUCUUAAAUAUUUAGAAGAUAGUGAAACAGUUGGACAGUUUAUUUGUUUAGUCUUUUCAAAUUUGUAAAAUAGUUUUAUUUAUACAUAUAUGAGAUUUAAGAGAUAUAAAAAAAUGUCGAUGUCCCCAGAUAUGCAGAUGUGAUACGUUAAAAAUGUGUUAAAAUUUCUUCAAAAUCACAAACCUUUUGGGAUUACUCCGGACCUUAUAUUAUGAAUGACUCUUGGUGUCCUUUUUUAAUGAGUAGUUUAAAGGAUUUCUUUGAUAGACAAGUUUAAUUUGAUUGAAGUCUUUAAAAUUACUC